rnacentral:lncRNA from 1 species
GUAAAUAGAAAUAAUAGUAUAUUAAUAAUAAUAUAUGUUAAUAAUGAUAAUAAUAGAAAAUAAUAAAAAUAAUAAAAUAAAAAACUAUGUCAAUAAGGAUAAUAGAAAUAACAGUAAUAAAAAAAAAAUAAUAAAUAUAAUAAUAGAAAACAAUAAUGAAAAUAAUUAAUUUGAGAAUAAAACAGCAAAAUAAUGAAAAAGGGACUAAAUUGAACUUAAAGUAAAAGAUCGGGGCCAAUUCGGAAUAAAAAUACAAAGGAAAUGACCAAUUUGGGCGCGGGGAUAACAAGGGAAGACCAAAAUGGGCAAUAUCCCAUCCUCCCAAAACGCACAGCACCAAGAGGGACCAAAUCACAAACCAAAAAAAAUUACAAGGUAAAAUUAAAAUUUAAAAGAAACUCGAUUCCAAAACAAUAAAAUGCAGAGGGACUAUUCACGAAAAUAUCCCCUUUUUCAAAAAAAAAGCAGAUCCUGCUGGCGGGUCAGGUCAACGCGCGGGUCAUGAGGCAAAACGAUGUCGUUUUGACAUUAAGAGGGCUGAAUAAAACGGCGUCAUUUCGAGUGGCUAUUUAAAUCAGUUUUUUUUAAAAAAAUUCAUUCUUUCUCCUCUUUUAAAAAAAAACCCUCUUCCCCUUUUUUUUCUCUAUAGAGGCCCUUAGUCCGGCGAAGGUUCCGUACGUCGGCCGUCGCGUCGACCACCGUUCGCCGCCGCCGGCGCCGCCGUAUGCGGCGGGGAAAAUGUCGAAAAUUGCCCCUUUUUCAGCAAGAUCGAAGGUAAGUCCCCUUUUUUCCUUUUUUACACUUUUUAUAUAUGUGUGUAUAUAUAUAUAUUUAUAUAAAAAAGAUUCAAAAGAAGGAAAGAAAAAAAUAAAGAAGAUGGAAAAGAACCUUUCUCACACUGUUUUUUGAUCUUCUUUUGUGGUUUUCUGGUUUGUCUGUUUGGAUCUAUUUUGGAUUGUAUUAAUCUCUCUUUUUUUGUUCUAUUUCAUGUUCCAAAAAAUUACAUUCGGUUUUCUUGGCUUUUAUAGCCAUUUACAAAAAUAUUAAAAAUACAUGCUUGUCACUUUCGUUUUAACUCUUGCAGGUGCAAGUGGAGGAGCAGGUGGCGGUUGUUGUGACCAUGGCAGACCCGGGCAGGUGGUGGUGGCAGAUGGACAGAAGGUUGGGGCGGCACACCUAGGGGCUAGGGUUUCUUGGAGGAGUUUAGGAUAGUGGGCUAGGGUUAGGUUAGGUUUGGGUUUAGUUUAGUGGGUAUUGGCCUGGUUUGUAUCUGGGCCAAAAUUGGGCCUCAACAUACAUAAAAUAUCUUUUUUUUUUAUAAAUUUUAAAAUAUAUAAUUAUAAACUUUUAAAAGUCAAAAUAAUAAAUAAUAAAUAAAAAUUAAAAAUAUUAUAAAAUUUAAAUACCUUAGAAGAAAUUUCCUGCAAGACAAAGACAGAAGAAUCAAAAAAUUAACGGUAAGAUUUCUUGUACAAAGAAAAAGCUCUCUACAGAUCAAAAAACGGAGAUUAAAAUUAAGUAUUCUCUGCUAAAAAAAAAGUAAAAACAGUGUAUAUUUUCUACAGAAAUAAUAGUCUGAAAAAACUCUCAUUUUGUAAAGAAAAGCAGAAUUUUCAAUACAGAAACCAAAACUUAAUCAAAAUUAAUUUACUUUUAAUUUUUUUCAUCUUUUGAAG